rnacentral:rRNA from 1 species
CAAUAGCGUAUAUUAAAGUUGUUGCGGUUAAAAAGCUCGUAGUUGGAUUUCUGCCGAGGACGACCGGUCCGCCCUCUGGGUGUGUAUCUGGUUUGGCCUGGGCAUCUUCUUGGAGAACGUAGCUGCACUUGACUGUGUGGUGCGGUGUCCAGGACUUUUACUUUGAGGAAAUUAGAGUGUUUCAAGCAGGCACACGCCUUGAAUACAUUAGCAUGGAAUAAUAAGAUAGGACCUCGGUUCUAUUUUGUUGGUUUCUAGAGCUGAGGUAAUGAUUAAUAGGGAUAGUUGGGGGCAUUCGUAUUUAACUGUCAGAGGUGAAAUUCUUGGAUUUGUUAAAGACGAACUACUGCGAANGNAUUUGCNAAGGAUGUUUNCAUUA